AUUUUAAGAGAGAUUUUAAGAGAGGUUUUAAGGAAAAGUAGGAAAAAAAUAAAUCAGAAAGAAAAAAAAAGGAAGAACUCCUUUUAUAUAGUAUACUUGUUUUCAUAUAAGAGGUGAUGACGUGUCAGCGCGUGGUUGGUUAAAGAGUUUUAUCGAGAACAAAAUUUUUUUGGCCCGAUCGUGUUCUCUCUUCCUCUCUCUCUCGCUCUCUAUCGCGAACCUCUCAAUCCAAGGAGAUUGAAUCGGUCGGAAUCGUUGGAGAAGGAAUCGGACGAGAUUGGAAUCGGUCGGAAUCAUUGGAGAUGGAAUCAGACGAGAUUGGAAUCGGAGUCUAAUCAAUCAGAGGAGAUUGAAUCGAUUGGAAUCAGAGGAGAUUGAAUUGGAGGAGCUUGAACCUAUCUCUAAUGGACGCCUUAUGUACAAGAACAAGUUAAUAUUGGUUCAGGACCACCAAGUUCCAAAAUCAGGUGGUUUAGGUCUACCAGCAAUGAGUCACGUUACAUCAACACUGUUACUUUUGAUGCUAAGGAGUGCUCUCCCACUCUUGUGAUGGUUCAUGGUUAUGGUGCUUCUCAAGGCUUUUUCUUCAGAUAUUUCGAUGCUCUUGCUAGUCGAUUUAGGGUGAUUGCUAUCGAUCAACUUGGAAACUGAGGCAUGGUUUAUCGACUCCUUAGAGGAAUGGCUUAAAGCUCAGAAUCUCAGCAACUUUAUUCUAUUAGGACAUUCCUUUGGAGGUUACCUUGCUCUAGUAGACAUGAUGAGUAUGAACCUAAUUAAAGAGAUUCAGGCAGGUAAGAGAAACAGUCCGUGAUGUUGCAUUCAUGCACAAUGAGCAAUUUGUUUGUUUUAUGUUCAUGUUUUUAUUCUGUUUGUAUGUUUGAAAAUUAAUUAAAUGCGAUAUUUUCUA